AUGGGUAGAGAGGUUAUCUUCCCUCCCUCUAUCAGUUGCAGUUUCAGUUUCUCCCUCUUCUUCAUGUAACUUUGCAGAGAUGGAUAUAAAUUCCUCAAAUCCAGAACAUAUAGGUAUGUAUAUCUAUUUAAUUUUUCAUUCAUAUGAACAGGGGUUGUUGCGGUUCUUCUUCUUGUGGCUGUAUACCUUUGCGCAUAUGAACUCUGUGCCGUGUAUGUUGAGCAAGCUCGAGUGCUUCUGAGCGAUAUUCUCCUUUGGGUUCUUUUUUGGUGUGUCGGCUAUUGCUUUAGCAAUUAACAUGCUCUUUAUUUGCCGAAUGAUCUUCAACGCGUGUGUUGGAUUCUGUUGGAGCGAUGGUAAAAAAAGAUGAUUCUUGCUUAACGGUAAAAAGAUGAUUGAUGCUUAUAACGAAAUUCGGGACAACAGUCUUAAGAUCCUACUUAAGGUCGAAAGUAGUCGAGAUUUUGGGGAUUUACUCAUCGUGGUUGAGAACGAGCAUAUCGGCUGACAGUUGAGAACGAAGUAUCGAGAAAGAUGCCUAGCUUUGUCUUUCAGACGUUCCUAUAAAAUAAUUUGGGUACCAAUUUAAAACCGUCGUAUAAAUUUCAAUGGGUACCUUAUUUUUCAUGCUACUAUAAAUUAUGAUGGGUAAAUGAUUUUGCGGGUCGUAUAAAUUAAAUUAGGUAACCAAGCCAGUCUGUAGUAAAAAGAAAUGGGUAAAUUAUUUUAAGUUUCAAAGGAACAUUGGUGUUUUUCACUCCAACUUUGUAGGCGAUUGGAGGCUAGUAUUAUUCUUGCAGGAUCCAUGCCCAGCUCAAU